GGAGAGUUUGAUCCUGGCUCAGGACGAACGCUGGCGGCGUGCCUAAGACAUGCAAGUCGAGCGGGGAGGCUGGGGAGCUUGCUCUCCGGUCUCCUAGCGGCGGACGGGUGAGUAACACGUGGGUAACCUGCCCGGCAGUGGGGGAUAACCCUGGGAAACUGGGGCUAAUACCGCAUACGGUCCGCGCUCCGCAUGGGGUGUGGAGGAAAGGCCGCUGGAGAGGCGGUCGCUGCCGGAGGGGCCCGCGGCCCAUCAGCUCGUUGGUGGGGUAACGGCCCACCAAGGCGACGACGGGUAGCCGGCCUGAGAGGGUGGUCGGCCACACGGGGACUGAGACACGGCCCCGACUCCUACGGGAGGCAGCAGUCGGGAAUCUUGCGCAAUGGGCGAAAGCCUGACGCAGCGACGCCGCGUGGGGGAGGAAGCCCUUCGGGGUGUAAACCCCUGUCGUCCGGGACGAAGGUCGGGGGUGAGGAGCCCUCGGCUGACGGUACCGGAAGAGGAAGCCCCGGCUAACUACGUGCCAGCAGCCGCGGUAAGACGUAGGGGGCGAGCGUUGUCCGGAAUCACUGGGCGUAAAGGGCGCGUAGGCGGCCUGGCAAGUCGGAUGUGAAAGGCCCCGGCUCAACCGGGGAGGUGCAUUCGAAACUGCCGGGCUUGAGGGCAGGAGAGGGCAGCGGAAUUCCCGGUGGAGCGGUGAAAUGCGUAGAGAUCGGGAGGAACACCAGUGGCGAAGGCGGCUGCCUGGCCUGGCCCUGACGCUGAGGCGCGACAGCGUGGGGAGCGAACGGGAUUAGAUACCCCGGUAGUCCACGCCGUAAACGAUGGGUGCUAGGUGUGGGAGGUAUCGACCCCUUCCGUGCCGGAGCUAACGCACUAAGCACCCCGCCUGGGGAGUACGGCCGCAAGGCUGAAACUCAAAGGAAUUGACGGGGGCCCGCACAAGCGGUGGAGCAUGUGGUUUAAUUCGAAGCUACGCGAAGAACCUUACCUGGGCUUGACAUCACCGCGAACCUGGCCGAAAGGCUGGGGUGCCCCUUUGGGGAGCGCGGUGACAGGUGCUGCAUGGUUGUCGUCAGCUCGUGUCGUGAGAUGUUGGGUUAAGUCCCGCAACGAGCGCAACCCCCGCCCUGUGUUGCCAGCGGUUCGGCCGGGCACUCACAGGGGACUGCCGGUGACAAACCGGAGGAAGGUGGGGAUGACGUCAAAUCAUCAUGGCCCUUAUGCCCAGGGCUACACACGUGCUACAAUGGCCGGUACAACGGGUUGCGAACCCGCGAGGGGGAGCCAAUCCCUAAAAGCCGGUCCCAGUUCGGAUCGCAGGCUGCAACUCGCCUGCGUGAAGCCGGAAUCGCUAGUAAUCGCGGAUCAGCAUGCCGCGGUGAAUACGUUCCCGGGCCUUGUACACACCGCCCGUCACACCACGGGAGCCGGCAACACCCGAAGCCGGUGGCCCAACCCCGCCGGAAGGGGUGGGGCUUGGCGGGAGCGCGAAGUCCCAGCCCUUCCGGUGGGGAGGGAGCCGUCGAAGGUGGGGCCGGUGACUGGGGUGAAGUCGUAACAAGGUAGCCCUACGGGAACGUGGGGCUGGAUCACCUCCUUUCUAAG
rnacentral:rRNA from 1 species